UUGCUCUUCAACGAGGAAUGCCUAGUAAGCGCAAGUCAUCAGCUUGCGUUGAUUACGUCCCUGCCCUUUGUACACACCGCCCGUCGCUACUACCGAUUGAAUGGCUCAGUGAGGCCUUGGGAUUGGCCAGGGGAGGUGGGCGACCACCACCCCAGGCCGAAAACUUGGUCAAACUUGGUCAUUUAGAGGAAGUAAAAGUCGUAACAAGGUUUCCGUAGGUGAACCUGCGGAAGGAUCAUUAACGAGUUAGGGUUGGCCCCUCGCGGCCGCCCGAACCUCCCAACCCUUGUGUCUACCAAACCCAAUGUAUGUUGCUUCGGCGGGCCGGUUUUCCCCGUCACACGGGAGACCGCCGGGCCUCUUGCGCCUGGAGAGUGCCCGCCGACGGCCCACACCAAAACUCUUGAACCAAACCAGUGUCGUCUGAAUUCAAAAAAGUUAAUUAAAAACAAAACUUUCAACAACGGAUCUCUUGGUUCGGGCAUCGAUGAAGAACGCAGCGAAAUGCGAUAAGUAAUGCGAAUUGCAGAAUUUCCGUGAGUCAUCGAAUCUUUGAACGCACAUUGCGCCCAUUGGUAUUCCGAUGGGCAUGCCUGUUCGAGCGUCAUUAUCCUCCCUCAAACCCCCGGUUUGGUGUUGGACCGCGUCGGCCUGCGAGGGUCGACUGGUCUCAAAGACAAUGACGGCGUCCGUGGGACCCCCUUCGCAACGAGCUUUCGGGCACGCGAACACAAAGGACCCGCGGGCCGGCCACCCUUCUUAUCAUUUACAAGGUUGACCUCGGAUCAGGUAGGAAUACCCGCUGAACUUAAGCAUAUCAAUAAGCGGAGGA
rnacentral:rRNA from 1 species